GAUGAACGCUAGCGGCAGGCUUAAUACAUGCAAGUCGAGGGGCAGCAGUUUUGUAGCAAUACAGAAGCUGGCGACCGGCAAACGGGUGCGGAACACGUACGCAACCUUCCUUUAACUGGGAGAUAGCCCACCGAAAGGUGGAUUAAUAUCCCAUAAUAUAACUGAAUGGCAUCAUUUAGAUAUUAAAGCUCCGGCGGUUAAAGAUGGGCGUGCGUCUGAUUAGGUAGUUGGCGGGGUAACGGCCCACCAAGCCUUCGAUCAGUAGCUGAUGUGAUAGCAUGAUCAGCCACACGGGCACUGAGACACGGGCCCGACUCCUACGGGAGGCAGCAGUAAGGAAUAUUGGUCAAUGGACGCAAGUCUGAACCAGCCAUGCCGCGUGGAGGAUGAAGGCCCUCUGGGUUGUAAACUUCUUUUCUUUGGGACGAAACCCCUGUUUCUACGGGGACUGACGGUACCAGAGGAAUAAGCACCGGCUAACUCCGUGCCAGCAGCCGCAGUAA
rnacentral:rRNA from 1 species